rnacentral:rRNA from 1 species
GUUAAAACAAUUACGCUGUUAUCCCUAAAGUAUCUUAUUCUCCUAAACUUUUUAAAGGAUCAACAAAAAUUCAUUCUUAAAAAGAAAUUCAAAAUAAUUGAAGUCUUUCACAUUCUAAAACCGCCCCAGUGCAACUUUAAACUAAAUAUAUUAUUAAUCUCAAUAAAGUAAAGAUUUAUAGGGUCUUCUCGUCCUUCUAAUUAAUUUUAACCUUCUCAUCAAAAAGUUAACUUCAACAUAAAUUAAACCAAGACAGAUUCGUUCUCAUUAACCCAUUCAUUCCAUUUUACAAUCAAUAAACAAAUUAUUAUGCUACCUUUGCAA